GACGAAGAACGUAGCGAAAUGCGAUACUUGGUGUGAAUUGCAGAAUCCCGUGAACCAUCGAGUUUUUGAACGCAAGUUGCGCCCGAAGCCAUUAGGCCGAGGGCACGCCUGCCUGGGCGUCACACGUCGUUGCCCCCCCAUCUACUCCUUCGGGAUUGCGGGGGGCGGAUGAUGGCCUCCCGUGCGCCUCGCCGCGCGGUUGGCAUAAAUGCCAAGUCCUCGGCGACGCACGCCACGACAAUCGGUGGUUGCGAAACCUCGGUUGCCCGUCGUGUGCGGUCGUCGCGCAUCGAGGGCUCGAAAAAAUUGCCGGGUUCCGGCUCGGCUUUCAACGCGACCCCAGGUCAGGCGGGGUUACCCGCUGAAUUUAAGCAUAUCAAUAAGGAGGA
rnacentral:misc_RNA from 1 species